rnacentral:rRNA from 1 species
UACGUAGGUGGCAAGCGUUGUCCGGAUUUAUUGGGUUUAAAGGGUGCGUAGGCGGCCCUGUAAGUCAGUGCUGAAAUAUCCCGGCUUAACCGGGAGGGUGGCAUUGAUACUGCGGGGCUAGAGUACAGAUGAGGUAGGCGGAAUUGACGGUGUAGCGGUGAAAUGCUUAGAUAUCGUCAAGAACACCUAUAGCGAAGGCAGCUUACUAGGCUGUAACUGACGCUGAGGUGCGAAAGCGUGGGGAGCAAACAGG